rnacentral:lncRNA from 1 species
ACAUUUGGGGUUACAAAAUGUUUCAGUAUAUUACAUUUCAGAAGUUUUUCACAAAAAUACUUAAUCCUCUCUCAAAACGACUUCUGCAGCCUCGUUCAGGAGCCGAUUGACGGCUUCGUCCAUAAUAUCUUCAGCCAUCUUUUUUAUUUCGUCGUCUCCUUUCGGCUGAGGGCCCGAAGACGUUUUAGCAGGAUCUGAAGUAAGACAGGAUACGGCUACAUUGCUAUUACAAAUCGCAAACAAAUCUUAAAGCCUAAAGAUUACAACACAAUAAAAACUAUUAGUUAAUACCUAAUUGACCUUCGGCCUCUGCGCUCUUUUCAGCAGCCUCAGCUACUUCUCUAGCAUCGUGAAUGCCCUUUUCACUUCUUCGAAUAAUUUCUCCGGCCAUUUCUCGGCCACCAUUAUCCCAGAUAUCGGUAAAAAAUUUUCCACCAAUUAUACUAGCUUCGGCCGAAGGAUCUCUUGCAUCUUCAAAGGACAAAGCAGCUUCGGACUGUGCUAAAAUUUUUACAUGUUCGCAGCCUUUCUUCUCUAAGAUGGUGGCAAUCCCUCUGGCACCAGAGAAGGCACAUAUAUCUCCUCGGCUAUUUAAAAUUUCUUCGAAGGCCUCAGCUUCGUGGUCGAUCCAUUCGAUGGGACCUUCGGGAUUGCCUCUCGUAAAGUUUUCUUCGCUUGAAAAGGCGCCAACCCUGGCGAAGCUACCUUUUAACUUUUUAACACACUCUAUAGAUUUGUUAUAGCAUCUCUUUUUGGACGAACGAAGCUCUUCAACAGUUAUUUCUAGGUGAUCGGCCCAUUGGUCGCUGAGUUCUCGCUUUGUUUCUUCAAGUAUGCGUUCUUCCUUGGCUCUGGCCAGUUGUUUCCGAAGGUCUUCAAUUUCUCACUUUUGAGCUUCAGCUUGGCCUUUAAAAGCAGCUUCGUCCUCCUUUAUUUUAUGUAUCAAUGAGUACAACAUUUUAUCUUUUUCUAGACCUUCGUUCCUCAGUUCAAUAACUUCGGAACGAAGGUUGCUCAGGGCUAUAGAACACCCUUCGUCUUCAGCAUCUUUCUGUGCCCUGAGGGCAUUGCUGAGUAUCAGGCCCUGCAAAGAGAAAUAUGUCUGUGUCAAUAAGUUUAAACAAACGAAAAAUUUUGAACUCAACAAAAAAUACAAGGAUUUCAUUUGUCGCACCUUUAAGCUAUUGUAAGCUAGGCUGUCGGCCAGAUCGUUCUUUGACAGCACCGAAAGUCCGUCUUCUAAAGUUGGGAAUCCGAAGCUCCUGCUCAUCUCCCGACAGACAGAAAUUUCCUUGCUAUCGGGGAGACAAUACAAGAAGUCUUCUUCCCCACUGCCAUUGAAUAUUAACGCCCCCUUUGGAUAUUUCAGUUUUUGGGCGUAGUGCUGGGCCUCUUGCUCUUCUUUUUCUGAUAAUUUUUUCCCCGAAGCAUGACGAAGAAUAUAAUCACGAACAUUCGGGGAUGCUUCGGGGGCAAUGACACCGGUUUCUUCAACAAAAGUUGGCUUUGUUAUUUUUUCCGCCUCACUUUCCAAGGAUUUUAUCUUUGCAGGCUCUGAGGGCCCAGCUUCGGCUUCAGUCUCUUGCCCUGGAGCUCUAGAACCAGAAAUUUCAGUUGUUGUUUCAGGAAUGACAGCAGCCUUCUUCGGAGGUGUGCUUGAAGAUUUGAUCGUUUCCAGUACAUCUAGCACAUUAGCCAUUCUCUUUCUUUUUGGAGUCACUGCUGGCACUUUUUGAUUUUUUACUGCAUCAAUGUUUGCUGCGGGACUCAAAACUUCUGAUGUUUUGGAUCCCUCAGUUGCUUCUUUUACCUCUUCCAUUUUUUCUGUGGACGGCGCUUCGGCCUUCUCUUUCAUUUCUGAUAACAAAAUCUCCGAUUGUUCCAAUUCUAUCUUUGUUGGCACUUCGGCCGUUUCUGCGACUUCUGGCAGCAAGGUUGGUUCGGCUGGUUUUUCAGCUUCGGCGGCCGAAGGAGUUCCUCCGGUAAACUCAGGCACCGAAGCUGGUUCAAUAUAGCGCGGCCGAUGUGUGAGGACCUUUACCUUCUUUCUUUUCGGUUCUGGCUCGCUAGGAGCAAUUGCAGCUUCUUCCUUUGCAGAGGUUGUGCUUUUUCUCUUUUGCCUUCGAAUGGGAUAGCAAUAGUCAGGGUAGACAAACCCGAUUGCAUCAAAUACCCGAUUAAGCCUUUUCUUUUUUCGACCUCCGAAGGCUGCUGACAUUGCAGUGUCUUCGGCCUUCGAAUAAGCCCCAAGCAGUUCAUCGCUUAAAUUUUCAAUACUUUUUAACCAGUCAUCAUCUUGCUCAACGAAUUUAUCUCCAAAUUUAAAAGUGUACUUCAACCUGAUAAGUCCACCUUCGUCGGCCUCUUUUACGGUUUCUUGUGGCAUUUCCCAAUUCUCCGCGAGCGGCCAUACCCUGAAGGCAAUAUGCUCUUGUACUAAGUCUCUUGUCCCAAUGAAAGAACAGACUGCGCCGAAGGCCCUCUGGCAUUCUUCGGCAACUUCAUUCAUUUCAACCUUCGGCCUUCGAAGGCCGAAGCUUUGCCAAAUAGGGCGCAUAAUUAUACCUUUGAUAUCUUCUCGUAUUGUCAGAUCACUCUUCACAUAGAACCAUUCUGUCAUCCAGUCUCCGGGCCAUCUUUUCCGAAAGGUUGGCACGGGGCAGCUUGACCCGGACCGAGAAACAAAACUGUAGCAGCCAAAAUUGUUGUGAUAUUGUUCCUUACCCCAAGGUUUUGUUUCAUAUGAUAAUUCAUGUAUAUUGCAGAAGCUUUUUGCGUCAGGCUUCAGACCUUGGCUUCUCACGGCCCACACGAAGAUAUUCAGCUUUAUAAUUGCCUCGGGGGUAAGUUGAUGGAGAUAGAUUUCGAAUAUUUUCAGCACCUCCACAACGAAGCUGCUCAAAGGAAAUCGCAGUCCAGCUUUCAAAAAGCUUCGGUACACUACGACUUCAUUCUCUUCAGGGUGGGGGCAAGUUUUCUCCCCUUCGUCGGCCCUCACAAUGGACAGAUCCCGAAAAUACCUUCCUCUCAUGUUGAUAAGAUGAUUCUCUUUGAUAGUUGAUUUACCAUAAACUGAAUGGCUUGGUCGCCAUGGACGAUCUUCGGAGUCUUCACCACCACUGUCCACGUCAUAGCUGUCACUAUCACCAGUAUCCUCAGACAAACCUUCCAGAAUCUCCUUGGUGAUUUUUUCUGUGUUGGUCUUUGACAUCGCUAUAAGAAACCCCAAAUUUUUCUCUUCGUCGAGGCUCAGCUUCGUCUCAGCAGCAGCCUUCUUAUCUUCGGACAUCUUCGGAGACACUAAAAAACUAUUUUCAAAGCCGAAGCUUCAAAACUAAAAGCUUAACAAAUCGUAGUGCACAAGAGCUAAAAAUUGAGUGAGCGGGAGCAGUUGGCCAGAGAGCGUGUCAAAUGCGUUUGCGGUAUGGCCGUAUUUAUACGCCGAGUGCGUUGAAAAUUGAAAGACCCCGCUUGUCAGUGAAUAUUGCUAUUCUAGCAAAGGGAAGGUGUUUUUUCGGACCUUCGGCGUAAAGCCUUCGUCCAGGUCGCAAUCUAAAUUUAUUAUUUUGAACAAAUUAAUAUUGCGAGGGGCUACUGUUGGGGACCUUCGGCAUCCGAAGGUCCUCAAAAACAGGAUUUAAUAGUGUUUCUGGAGUAUAAUGUGUGAACAGGUAUCUUCGGACUCAAGUCAGGUAUUACAGUAGACCAGAAUAAUACGAAGGUUGGUGAACCACCGAAGGUGUAAGCAGGAAAGCUUCGGCGUGACGGCAGCAGAUGAAACCGACUUAAAGAUGAAAAGGCUAUUUAGACCUCGACAGAUUACUAUAGAAUUAUUAUCGAGUGUAAAGGGCAUUAAUGUAAUUUUGCAUGGGCUGCGUCCCGUGCCUAUAAAUAGGUGAACAGUAGCCCCGUACUGUUCACGCUGACUUGGCAUUCGCUUUUUGCGUCACGCUUGUAUUAUCAUCUCCUUCCAAUUGAAGGUACACUUGUAAUUCAAUGAUAUUUCUGUUUAUGUUUAAUGAUAAUACAUAACUGUUCAUGAUGCCAUUUAUAUUCCUUACAUUUCAUCCUUCGUCGUUAUGAAAUGAAUUUAUGAAGGUAUACUCUUCAUAACCUUCGUCCGAAAAGCAUUAUACCCCAAAGGAGAUAAUGUUUCGAAGGACGAAGGACUUUAACGAUUAACAUUUUCUAUGUUGCCUUGUUCUUAACUCAUAGCAUUUGAGAACAAGUCCCCAACACCCGCAUUACACAUUUAUACCUAAGGAUUGACUAGCUUUUGUUAUCCAUAUCCUUGUUUACCUAUCUGGGUUGGAUUAUUAUUGUUUAGCUUUAUGCUAUUGCUCAACUCUAAUCAAUGAACAUGAUGAGAUUAUCCAUGAUAUGCUGUUUUCCCUUCUCUUAUUAUGAUGUUGUACUUGUGGCCUUUAAGGGGGCUCGAGCGGUUUCUCGAGUGCCUCUCCGUAAGGACCUGUUCUAUGGAUGACCACCCGGGAAAACAGUGCAACCAUGAGGGUGGAAUGGGGUGCCCUUAGCUGAAUAAUUAGAGGAUCCGGGGUGUAGUUCGCUUCGCCGUCGUGCCGUCAAUGGGGCUCGGUGUAUGCGGCUCGCUCUGCCAAGGUUGAUUCGUCCCUUGGGGAGGAGUGCGGUACAUUUAGGAAACCUAACGGGCGGCUACAGCCCCGGGGAAUCUUUGUAAAGGCUACGUAGUGAGACCCUGCCUAUUCACCUUGGUAGUGUUUAAGGGUUUGAUCGGCCCGAGGCAAGAGGGAAUCACAGCUUGUGGGUAAAGUGCACAACCUCUGCAGAGUGUUUGAAAACUGAUAUAUCAGCCGUGCUCGCGGUUAUGAGCGGCCAAGGGAGCUCCAGUGAUUAGUGGUACUUGACCAGAGACAUUUUGGUUUACAGGUGGCAAUGAGAUUGAUGGUUCUGGUUAUGACUAUGGUACUGGUAAGUGGUAUUCUUUCCGUUUGGAAAGGGUACAUCGGGCUAAUAACUUGGGUUAAUGUUAAAACCUGGCUUUCUACUAGUAAAUAAUAAUCUGACCAACUAAAAGCAACUGCUAGACUUAUCCCCACAUAAGGCUAGUCCACUACAGCCAAACAGGAUACUUGCUGAGUAUGUUGAUGUGUACUCACCCUUGCUCUACACACCAAACCCCCCCCCCAUCUCCAGGUUGUCAGCACUGCUCAGGAGAAGAUGAAGCUGUGGAAGGAGACUUCCAGGAGUUCCAAGCCUACGACGAGUUCUAGGCGUGGGUUAGCGGCAACCCCCAGUCGGCUCCCUGUGAAGGCCGCGGUUAUCUACGUUUCGUUUUCGCACUUUGAUUUAUUGUAAGGACUAUAUGGACGUCUCAGACGUAUGAUGUAAUCAACUAUUAUUUCCCUUCUUAAUAUUAUUUUGAGCACUGUGUGAUGAUGUCCAUGUUAUGUAACUGCUGUGUACGUGAAUUACUGAUCCUGGCACGUACAUGGUUCACAUUCGGUUUGCCUUCUAAAACCGUGUGUGACAGAAACAAGCACCUUGGGUACCCAAACACAAGUCUUUGACCCCUUGUGUUUGCCCCCAACAUAUUUGGCAACUACUUUGCCUGAUUUGUUAGUAAGCACAUAAGAUGCAUCAAAUGUUUUAAAUGAAAUACUAGGUUCAUUUGAUGCAAAAGGAGUUUUCUUCUUAGGCAAUUUAGCACGGGUUGAUUGCCUAGAACUAGAUGCCUCACUCUUAUACAUGAAAGCAUGAUGAGAGCCAGAGUGAGACUUCCUAGAGUGAAUUCUCCUAAUUUUGUGCUCGGGAUAACCGCCAGGGUAUAAAAUGUAACCCUCGUUAUCUUGAGCCAUGGGAGCUUUGCCCUUAACAAAGUUUGACAAUCUUUUAGGAGGGGCAUUAAGCUUGACAUUGUCUCCCUUUUGGAAGCCAAUGCCAUCCUUAAUGCCUGGGCGUCUCCCACUAUAAAGCAUACUACGAGCAAAUUUAAAAUUUUCAUUUUCUAAUUCAUGUUCGGCAAUUUUAGCAUCUAAUUUUGCUAUAUGAUCAUUUUGUUGUUUAAUCAUGGCCAUGUGAUCAUGAAUAGCAUCAAUGUUAACAUCUCUACAUGUAGUGCAAAUAGUAACAUGCUCAACGGUAGAUGUAGAGGGUUUGCAAGUUUUUAACUCAACAAUCUUAGCAUGUAAAAUAUCAUUUUCAUCUCUAAGAUUGAAAAUGGAAACAUUGCAAACAUCUAAGUCUUUAGCCUUAGUAAUUAAUUUUUCAUUCUCAAUUUUAAGGCAAGCAAGAGAGGCAUUCAAUUUUUCAAUCUUAGCAAUAGAACUAGCAUUAUCAUUUCUAAGAUUGUCAAUUGAAUCAUCACAAACAUUUGAUUUCUCAACCUUAGCAAUUAAUUUGGCAUUUUCAUUUCUAAGGUUGGAAAUAACAUCAUGGCAAGUGCUUAGCUCACUAGAUAACUUUUCACAUUUUUCUACCUCUAGAGCAUAAGCAUUUUUAACCUUAACAUGCUUUUUGUUUUCUUUAAUUAGGAAGUCCUCUUGGCUAUCCAAGAGUUCAUCCCUCUCAUGAAUGGCACUAAUUAAUUCAUUCAAUUUCUCUUUUUGUUGCAUGUUAAGAUUGGCAAAAAGAGUAAGCAAGUUAUCCUCAUCAUCACUAGAAUUUUCCUCAUCACUUGAGGUUGCAUACUUAGUGGAGGAUCUUGAUUUUACCUUCUUUUUCUUGCCGUCCUUUGCCAUGAGGCACUUGUGGCCGACGUUGGGGAAUAGAAGUCCCUUGUUGACGGUGAUGUUUGCGGCGUCCUCGUCGAAGGAGGAGUCGGUGGAGCUCUCGUCGGAGUCCCACUCCCGGCAAACAUGGGCAUCGCCGCCCUUCUUCUUGUAGUACCUCUUCUUUUCUCUUCUCUUUCCCUUCUUGUCGUCGCCCCUGUCACUAUCACUAGAUAAUGGACAUUUAGUAAUGAAAUGACUGGGCUUACCACACUUGUAGCACACCUUCUUGGAACGGGGCUUGUAAUUUCUCCCCUUCCUUUGCUUGAGGAUUUGGUGAAAGCUUUUAAUGAUUAAAGCCAUCUCCUAGUUGUCGAGCUUUGAGGUGUUGAUGGGAAGCCUACUUGGUGUAGACUCUUCCUUCUUCUCCUCCGUCGCUUUGAAGGCGACGGGUUGCACCUCGGGUGUGGAGGUGGUGCCUCGCUCGAUGAUUUGUUUGGAGCCUUUGAUCAUUAGUUCAAAGCUCACAAACUUUCCUAUCACUUCCUCGGGAGACAUUAGUUUAUAUCUUGGAUCACCACGAAUUAAUUGUACUUGAGUAGGGUUAAGAAAAACAAGUGAUCUAAGAAUAACCUUGACCAUUUCAUGGUCAUCCCAAUAUUUGGUGCUCCCGAGGUUGCGCACUUGGUUCACCAAGGUCUUGAGCCGGUUGUACAUCGCUUGUGGCUCCUCUCCUUGGUGAAGCAUGAAGCGACCGAGUUCCCCCUCGAUCGUUUCCCGCUUGGUGAUCUUGGUCACCUCGUCUCCUUCGUGCGCGGUCUUGAGCACGUCCCAAAUCUCCUUUGCACUCUUCAACCCUUGCACCUUAUUAUACUCCUCUCGACUUAGAGAGGCGAGGAGUAUAGUAGUGGCUUGGGAGUUGAUGUGUUUGAUUUGUUCAACCUCCUUCGAAUCAUAAUCCUUGUCCCCUUUGUUUGGUACCUGCGCUCCAUAUUCAACAAUAUCCCAUAUGCUUUUGUGGAGUGAGGUUAGGUGAUGCCUCAUUUUAUCACUCCACAUAGAAUAAUCUUCACCUUCAAGCAUAGGUGGUUUGCCUAAUGGGACGGAAAGUAAUGGAGUGCAUUUUGAAAUACGAGGAUAGCGAAGGGGCAUCUUACUAUACUUCUUGCGCUCAUGGCGCUUAGAAGUGGCGGAUGCCGAUUCCGAGCCGGAGGUGGAGGGUGACGAAGAGUCGGUCUCGUAGUAGACCACCUUCUUCAUCUUCUUCUUCUUGUCACCCUUCCAUUGGGACUUGAUGGAGGAAGAGGAUUCCUCCUUGUACUUGUGUGCGGACUCCCUUGAGUGUGUUCUCCCCGAGCUUGCGGACUUGUUGCCGGUCCCGAUCUCUCUCAUGGCGGAUGCUCCCGACAUCACUUCGAGCGGUUAGGCUCUAAUGAAGUAUCGGGCUCUGAUACCAAUUGAAAGUUGCCUAGAGGGGGGGGGGUGAAUAGGCAAAUCUGAAAUUUAUAAACUUAAGCACACACUACACGCCGGGGUUAGCGUUAGAAAUAUAAACGAGUCCAAAAGAGAGGGCGAAAACAAAUCACAAGCGAAUAAUAGCGGAUGACACGAUGAUUUGUUUUACCGAGGUUCGGUUAUUGCAAACCUACUCCCCGUUGAGGUGGUCACAAAGACCGGGCCUCUUUCAACCCUUUCCUUCUCUCAAACGGUCACUUAGACCGAGUGAGCUUCUCUUCUCAAUCAAACGGGACACUAAGUCCCUACAAGGACCACCACAUAAUUGGUGUCUCUUGUCUUGGUUACAAUUGAGUUGGAAUCAAGAAAGAAGGAAGAAGAAAAGCAAUCCAAGCGCAAGAGCUCAAAUGAACACAAAUGUCACUCUCUCUAGUCACUAUUUGAUUGGAAUGAACUUUGGACUUGGGAGAGGAUUUGAUCUCUUGUUUGUGUCUUGUAUUGAAUGCUAUAGCUCUUGUAAGAGGUGUGAAGGCUGAAAACUUGGAUGCAAUGAAUGGUCGGUGGUUGGGGGUAUUUAUAGCCCCAACCACCAAAGGAGCCAUUGGUGGAGGCUGCUAUCGCAUGGCACACCGGACAGUCCGGUGCGCCACCGGACACUGUCCGGUGCGCCAGCCACAUCACCCGGCCGUUAGGGUUUGACCGUUGGAGCUUCUGACUUCUGGGCCACCAGACAGUCCGGUGGUGCACCGGACAGGUCCUGUAGGCUGUCCGGUGCGCCUUCUGGCUCUGCUCUGACUUCUGCACGCACUGUAGCGCAUUAACUGCUCAUUGCAGACGACCGUUGGCGCUGUGUAGCCGUUACUCUGCUGGCACACCGGACAGUCCGGUGCUACACCGGACAGUUCGGUGAAUUAUAGUGGAGCGACUCCUAGAAUUCCCGAAGGUGGCAAGUUCGGAGUCGGGUUCCCUAGUGCACUGGACACUGUCCGGUGGUGCACACUUCGGUUGUCUUUUGCUCUUUUAAUUUGAACCCUUUCUUGGUUUUUUGUUGUGAACCUUUGGCACCUGUAGAACUUAUAAUCUAGAGCAAACUAGUUAGUCCAAUUAUUUAUGUUGGACAAUUCAACCACCAAAAUCAAUUAGGAAAAGGUGUAAGCCUAUUUCCCUUUCAGUUACCCGAAGGAAAACUCAAGUUUUACAAGAUACAGUGGAACCAACACACGGAAGAUGAAGCUACUUGGGAAGCUCAAGACUUUUUAGAUAAGAAUUUCCCAGGCUUUUUAGCUUCGUGUAAAUUGUAGGAUGUGUACAUUUGUUGUAAUAGAGGAAUGAACCCCAUACCACCCCUACCUUGUACCAAAAAUAAGGAAAUUAAAAUAUGACACAUUUCCUUUUCCAUUACUUGCCCUAGGACUUUUAAUCUCGGGACGAGAUUCUUUUAUGGGGGGAAGGAUGUAACACCCCUGGUGUUACUGUCACUAAAACUAGAGCAUAACAUCAUAAGCAUUGGCAUAUCAUGUGUUUGUCACACCUAGAAUGCAUUCACUAGGCAAAAAUCUCAAAUAAGUUGUAUUGAUGUGACAUUUCAUGGGUGAAACCCUAGGGUACAAUACUUAACCCUAGACUGGGCUUAAAAGAGUAACCAAAGUCUAACUAAGAGAAAACUUCAAAACUUAGUUGGAAUAACCAUAAAAUGUCACCAUGGAUGGACUUAAGUAGCAUCCAAACCCUAGAAGUACCAAAAAUCCUAAAUAAACCCCUAGAAAACCCUGGACUGAAACCCUAAGGGGUUAUAUGCAAAAUGUGCACACUUUUGGACCUAAGUGCAAAAAUCAUGGAAAUAGGGUACCUCAUGUCACAUGGUUCACAUGUUUGAGGAUUUACAAGCUAAAAGUGUGAAUUGGGCUUAUUUGCAAAAAGCCAUUCAAUUCCUUUUAUAAGGCUAAGUCUGAAUUUCAGUGAAUGGGAUCAUGUUUGAAGCCCUGUAAUUUCAAAACUAUAAGGAUUUUGCCCUAGGUCAGCACAUCGAAUUUGUAGAGCUAUGUAAGGAGAACAACUUUGCUAUAGGGGUUAAGCCUUGGUCACAUGAAAAAUUUGGAGUAAAAUGAGCCCAAAGUCGGGCUGUCAGACUGCCCUUGGUCUGAAUUCAGACUAAUAGUGAGAUUGGGCAAUCUUUGGACUGGAAUUCGACCAUGAUCUAGUGAGUGUUUGGCUAUGUUUGCUAUAGCAAGAUUGUAGCUGGAUCAUCGGGCAACAACUUUGUUACAGGCAGAUUAGCAAGUUGUUAUGAAAAGAUUUGAGAUCUAGGCCCUACAAAUUGGGCUGUCAGGCGCACUGAAUAGGGAUUUUCAUUGUACAGUGACUGAAACAGAUCACAGAUUCACCCCCCUCGCCGCCGGUGAUCUUGCGCCCAGAUCCACGCCGGCGUCGUGAUUCAUGCCCAACCAAACACAGAUAGCGCUCCUCGGUAAGAAAUAUCGCGCUGGAGAUGAACUCCGGCCACUGUUCUCACCGGCCGUCGUGUACCACCAUGGUCAAUCGCGGUGGCAUCACCGGCGCUCGCCGUUAUCUGGCCAGGCUUCGUGCCUCAACGCUUUACCACGUCGCGGUGAGUCACCAUAAACCGCCCCAUAGCCUUGGCUCGUCGCCGGUGGGUUUGCCACGGUGAAGGCCACGAAUCACCGCGCCAGUGACUCAGUUCCCCUUUCGACCGCCAGCGCAAUUCGUCCAAAUUGAACACUGUUGGGGCGAAGGCAAAGACGCCACCCUUCGCUCGAGGUCUUCGCUGCAGCCGCCGGUCUGACAGAGACAAGACGGGCAGGGACACCCUUCGCUGGAUUCGGCACAUUGACGAAGGCCUGCGGCGACGUCUUCCCGCGACGCGGCCUCGUUCAGUCCCAAGGCCCACGUGCCAUCUGGCCCAUUGUAACGGGCCCCGCGUGGCCGCCUCUGUAUUACGGGCCUAACUUGUAAAGGCAUACUUGUAAUUACAGCUUGUAACCCUGCUUUAUGGGAAUAUUCUGGGGAUAAACUAGGUGUCUGAGGGCACAUGCGUCCUUAACACAAGGCGUUGGGCACUCAGAUACCUAUAAAUACCCCCGCACAGUGCCCGUGAAAGGCUAGAUUAACAAAGCUAUUGCCCCCGAGCACGUAACCCUGUUGUCACCACUGUUCACCCUUGUUGGCCUUCUUGCUGCUGAGAGCAAGUUCCAACAUUUGGCGCCCACCGUUCGUGCUACGACCAAACCACCCGCGAUGGCACCCAAGAGAGCUAACCCGAAAGCUGACGAGGCUGCGAAGGCAGCACUGCUUGUCGCAAGGAAGGGCAAGGCCCUCGCCCUCACCCAAUCCACCCACAAAGAGCUCACCGAAGACAAUAUUCCCCGCACCUGCGAAGACGACACCCUCCGCACCUGCGGACCCGAAGGACAAUCGCAGCCGCCCCCAGGCUUCGCCCCACUGGAGGGCGCGGAUCUCACCGAGGACGGCGAGGUCCUCGGCGUCUCAACAGAAGAACAGCUACAGCUGCGCGCCUUGCGCCUCAAGAACCGCAACCUUCUGAGGCAGAAAGAGAUACUGGAGGCCAAGCGCCAGCGUGUGUCCGCACUAGCCAAGGUGCGGCAAAUGAUACGCGACGAGGAGUAGAAGGCCCAAGACCUCGAGCGCGAGAUCGCGCUGAUGCAGCGCGAAGGCCACCUCGGUCCACAGCAAGAGCCACCCCUCCAGCAGCGCGCACAACCGGAGGACACGCGCGAAGGCCACCUCGGCCUGCAGCAUGGCCCACCCCCGCAACACCGGGCGCAGCCGGAGAACCCGCGUUUCCCCCAGCAAGACUACGCCUUCCAGCACAGCGCGCCAUUCCAAGGGGUCAAUUACCUCGACGAGCGAAGUCCCCUGGCGCCACACCUGCAAGUGACACCUUGGCCAGCAAACUUCCGAGCAGGGGCGUAUCCCAAGUACAACGGCAGCACCGACCCGGCACAGUAUAUAAUGAGUUAUCAAGUCGCCGUUGCAUCCGCCGGAGGGGACGACGCCACAAUGGCGAAGUCUUUCAUCAUCGCUCUAGAGGGCCCAGCACUCACCUGGUUCACCAGAUUGCCUCCGCUGUCCAUUGAUUCGUGGAGAAGUCUCAGGGACAAGUUCCUUCUCAACUUCCAAGGGUACCGUCCAGACACCGACGCUUUGGCCGAGCUCUCGCUUUGCAAACAGCUGGAAAAGGAGACUCUGCGGGAGUAUUACCGAAAAUUUUUAACGCUCAAAUCACAACUGCCCUCCGUCGAUGAUCAAAUUGCUAUCCACUACGCCAUCAGUGGCCUUCGGGCUGGCGUCCUCUACAGCCACUGUAUCAGAGAUCCACCCAGGAACCUCCAGGAGCUAUAUCAUCUCUUUGAAAAAUAUGCCAAAUCCGAAGAGCUCCACCAGCGCAAGGUUGAGUCACAGCGGAAGCCCAAAGAUGCCCCGCAGUCCAGCCGCACGUGGACGAGGACUCCGCAGCUAGACUCCGGUCGAGAUGGCCGCAGUCAACAGCAAGUGCACAACAUCGCCAACCAGCAGCCUGCUGCUGACCCCCCUCGUCGCCAGGAAUAUCCCCCCAGGGCCGCGGAAAUGGAGCUCGUGGCAGGGGCCGAGGGCGAGCGCAGCCGCCGCGCCGGUUCUACUGCCUUUUCCACGGCGAAGACUGCGUCCACCAAACCAAAGACUGCCCCGAGACGAAGGCCACCAGAGACAGAAUGGCGCGGGCGCAGCCAGCCGACAAUCCCAGAAUUGUCGCGCAUAAUUACCAGCCACCCCCUCCACCAUAUAUCCACGCUCCCGCUCUGCAUCCACCGCACCACGCUUACCAACACCAUCAGGAAGUACAAAUCGUACCUCCUCCACCCCCACCACCACACCAGCAACACCAAAACAUCCCCCAUGCCCCAAAGCAGGAAGACUUCGCCGAUCAACCAUAUCGCGGAGUCAUUCACAUGAUAACAGGGGGGUCCAGCACUGACUUCGACACCAAGCGGCAGAAGCGGGACCACUACCGCAGCAUCAACCAUGUCGCGGUCACUGGCCCAGUCGUGCAGACGAAGUGGUCCCACAUACCGCUAACCUUCGAUGCACGAGACGUCGAUCUGCGCAGCGCCCCCCACAUUGACGCUAUGGUCAUCAAUUGCAGCGUGGCAGGCUGGGACUUACACAAAGUCCUAGUCGACAACGGUAGUCAGGCGGACAUCAUCUUCCUGCACGCCUUCGACCGCAUGGGUAUAAGCCACAGCUUGCUGAAGCCUUCGGACAACCCUUUGUAUGGUUUCGGCGGCAAGGGCACCUUUCCAGUUGGCAAGAUAGAGUUGCCCCUCUCCUUCGGUGUAGCACCCAAUGCCCGAAGUGAGCAAGUAACCUUCGACAUUGUCGACAUGGUAUAUCCAUACAACACCAUCAUGGGCCGGGGCUCCAUCAAUAAGUUCGAAGCUGCCAUCCACGGGUUGUACCUAUGUAUGAAGAUACCAGGCCCGCUAGGUGCCAUCACAAUCUACGGCAACCAGCAGACGGCGCGCAACAUAGAGCGGGACUUCGUGCCUGGUCAGAGGAACGUACACUGUCUCACGACCCAGCGCGAGGUCCCUGCGCCGACCAGCCCAACCGACAAGCAGCACGACAAGGCACAGUUGCAGUGCCAAGACGGGACCAAGACUGUCCCCCUCAAUCAGGCCACGCCCAAGCAGACAGUCACUAUCAGCGAAGACCUCACUUCACUUGAAGAAGAGAAACUUCUCUGCUGCCUGGCCAAGAAUAAAGAUGUCUUCGCCUGGUCCGCCCUCGAUCUGGUCGGAGUCAGCCGAUCCAUAAUUGAGCACAGCUUGGGAAUUGACCCUUCGGUGCGACCCAAAAAGCAGAGGCUUCGCAAGAUGUCAGACGAAAAGACAGAGGCCGCCAAGGCGGAGGUGCACCGCCUCCUGGAGGCUAAAUUCAUCGAGCCAGUGGCUUACCCCACGUGGCUCUCCAAUGUUGUGAUGGUGCAGAAAAAAAGCGGGAAAUGGCGCAUGUGCAUAGACUUCACCAGUCUCAAUAAGGCCUGCCCAAAGAACAAUUUCCCGUUGCCGCGGAUCGACAAAAUAGUCGAUAGCGCGGCCGGAUGCGAGGUCAUGUCCCUCCUCGACUGCUUCUCCGGCUAUCACCAGAUAUACAUGAAGGAGGAAGACAAGGCUAGCACCAGCUUUAUAACACCCUUCGACACUUAUUGCUUUGUCAGAAUGCCGGAGGGUCUCAAAAAUGUCGGGUCCACCUUCUCCAGACUCACCAAAACAGUACUCGAAGGGCAGGUCAUCAGAAAUAUAUUUACAUAUGUGGACGACAUCGUCGUCGCCAGCAAGAAUAAGGAGGACCAUCUCGCCGACCUGGCAGAGACAUUCGUGAACAUGCGAGAUGCACGACUCCGCCUAAACCCGGAAAAGUGCGUCUUCGGUGUUCGCCAGGGCAAGAUAUUGGGCUACCUGGUGUCCCGCCGCGGCAUCGAGGCCAACCCAACCAAGAUCCAGGCCAUCGUCGAUAUGUCGCCUCCGCAGUCCGCCAGGGAUGUCCAGCGCCUGACAGGCAGGUUGGCCGCUCUCAACAGAUUCAUCUCCAGGUCCGCCGAGCGAAGCCUCCCCUUCCUCAAAACACUCCGCGGCGCGAAGGACUUCGCCUGGGGACCGGAGCAAGCAGCGGCCUUCGCCUCACUAAAACAGUACCUGUCGGAGCUGGCCAUCCUCACAAGCCCCGACUCCUCGCUCCCUUUAUUGCUCUAUGUCGCGGCUUCGCCGCACGCGGUCAGCGCAGCACUGGUACAGGAGCAGACAGUCGAGGGCGCAGUCAGACAGUGCCCUGUUUACUAUGUCUCCGAAGUCCUGACACCGUCCAAAUGCAACAUGACAGAGCUGGAGAAGAUCGCCUACGCAGUUGUUAUGUCCUCGCGCAAGCUGCGCCAUUACUUUGAAGCAUUCAAGGUCCGAGUCACCUCAGACAGGGGGCUCGGCGAACUAUUCAGAAACCCGGAGGCAUCAGUGAGGAUUGCCAAGUGGGCAGCCGAACUCUCCGGCUACCACAUCAGCUUCGAGCCCAGGACAGCUAUCAAGUCGCAAGUCCUGGCAGACUUCGUCGUCGACUGGACUGGGCCAGCAACACAGCCGGACCCGUCCACAGAAAAGGUCUGGACUAUCCAUUGCGACAGUGCAUGGUGUCAUGCGGGGGCAGGCGUCGCUGCAGUCGUCACCUCACCAGCCGGAGUCAAACACAGAUAUGCAGCAUGCCUCAGCUUCUCUCUGGAAUCCGACAAAUGUACAAACAACAUAGCAGAGUAUGAAGCGGUUAUCCUCGGCCUCCGCAAGCUAAGGGCCCUCGGAGUCACCACAUGUAUCAUCAAAACAGACUCCAAGAUAGUUGCCGGCCAGGUCGAGAAAGACUAUGCAGCAAAAGACCCCGCGCUCAUGCAAUACCUCGCGGCUAUCCGAAGUCUCGAGAGACAGUUCAAGGGAUUCACCCUGCAGCAUGUGGACAGGGCCAAGAACGAGGAGGCCGAUGCAUUAGCCAAGGCCGCCGCCAGGGGCGAACCCCUGCCCUCCGACGUAUUCUUUCACACGAUCGGCACGCCAGCCGUCCGGAGCCCCGAAGGGCUCCAAAUAACUAAUGAUAGCGAGGGCCACCGUAUAGUCAACCUAAUCAUGACCGAAGACUGGUGGGCACCAAUAACCCUGUUCCUACAGGGGUACUAUCAUCCAGCCGACGUCAGUGAGGCAAAGCGCCUCAGACAUCGAAGCCGGGACUUCGCACUGAUCGAGGGCCAAUUAUACAAGAAAGGGGUCAGUCAGCCAAUGCUCAAAUGCGUCACCGAAACCGAAGGCAUGCAAAUCCUACGCGAGGUCCACAGUGGCACGUGCGGCUCGCACGCGGGGCCAAGGGCCCUGGCUGCAAAGGUGAUCCGACAAGGGUUUUACUGGCCUGCAAUGAUCUGCGCCGCAAAUCGAGUCACAAGGUCCUGCGAAGCCUGCCAGAAGUUCUCUCCUCGGUCAGGCAACCCCUCGCAAUAUACAAAGCUGAUUGCCCAUACAUGGCCUCUCCAGCGCUGGGGCCUGGACAUUGUCGGGCCCCUGCCCACCGCUCAGGGGAACCUCAAGUUCGCCUUCGUAGCCGUCGAAUACUUCACCAAAUGGAUUGAAGCGAGGGCUGUUUCCACAAUCACAUCCAAGACUGCCCAAAAAUUCUUCUGGCAGAACGUUGUUUGCCGCUUCGGAGUACCGUCCGAGCUAACAGUUGACAACGGCAAGCAGUUCGACAGUCAAGAUUUCAAGGAUUUUUGCUUCUCCAUCGGCACCAAGCUUGCCUUCGCUUCAGUCUAUCAUCCGCAGUCCAACGGGGUCGUGGAGCGUGCCAACGGGAAAAUCUUCACAGCUGUCAAGAAGAUGCUCCUCGAUAAAAAAAAGGCAGAUGGACCGAUUUAUUACCGGAGGCAGUCUGGGCGUUAAACACAACUGAGUGCAGGGCAACCGGGUUCACUCCUUUCCGCCUUCUAUACGGAUCGGAGGCAAUGACCCCCCAAGAAAUAAAGCAUGGGUCCCCGCGUACAGUUCCGUCAGCCGUCCCCGACGUGGACGAGCCAACUUCAAAAGAUCUCAUUGACGGAGACCGGGUCUUCACCCUACAGGCCCUAAACAAAUACCAAGCCCAGACCAAAGCAUGGCGCGACCACGCAGUCAUCCCGAGGGAGUUCAGCGAGGGGGACCUCGUACUCGUCCGAACAGCUCGGACGGAGUCCAAGGGCAAGUUGGAGCCCAAGUGGGAGGGCCCCUUCAUAGUCAAGACAAAAGCUUCCCCCAGCGCUUACAGGCUCACAACGCCAAACGGCGAGGACCUGGAGCACUCCUGGAACAUCGAUAACCUUCGCAAAUUUUUUGUUUGACCCAUUUAGGGCUGAUUUCGCCCUUGUAAUUCGCCGCAAUCAAACUUAUACCGGCCCGCACUCUUUUCCUCCCGGGGGGUGAGGUUUUUAACGAGGCGGAGCCAUGUAAUAUAUGUGAGAAAAAUCCCCCGCAAAAGCAUGUGUCGAAAAAAGACCGCGACAACGGUCUUCGGCAUUCGACCAAUUCGAAGUCACCGCGAGGCUAAGCGUUAGCCACCCUCGCGUGCGACAAGUCCGCGCAGAAGUCGCCCAAGGGUGCAGCCGGACUAAGCACAACAAGUGCGCGAAAAUCCGAAGUCUAUCGCGAAGACUAUCCGCGCAGAAGUCGCCCAAGGGUGCAGCCGGACUAAGCACAACAAGUGCGCGAAAAUCCGAAGUCUAUCGCGAAGACUAUCCGUGCAGAAGUCGCCUAAGGGUGCAGCCGGACUAAGCACAACAAGUGCGCGAAAAUCCGAAGUCUAUCGCGAAGACUAUCCGCGCAGAAGUCGCCCAAGGGUGCAGCCGGACUAAGCACAACAAGUGCGCGAAAAUCCGAAGUCUAUCGCGAAGACUAUCCGCGCAGAAGUCGCCCAAGGGUGCAGCCGGACUAAGCACAACAAGUGCGCGAAAAUCCAAAGUCUAUCGCGAAGACUAUCCGCGCAGAAGUCGCCUAAGGGUGCAGUCGGACUAAGCACAACAAGUGCGCAAAAAUCCGACGCCUAUCGCGAAGACUCCACGCAGAAGUCGCCUAAGGGCGCAGCCGGACUAGCACAAGUGCGAAAAAAUCCGAAGUCUAUCGCAAAGACCCCGCGCAAGAGCCGCCCAAGGGCGCAGCCGACCUAGUACAACGAAAGCAGAAACGACAGCAAGACCAACUGUAAUCACACCGGCACAGCAUAAUCAACCAUACCAGACAAAGUACACAGCGCCCUCGCAGGCGCAAGCGCGCGAGGGCACUCAACUCCAUUUUACAAAACCUUACACAUACACAAGCGAGGGCGCCACGCUCUACAUCGGCUCAACCUUAGGAAUAAUUCCCAUCUCCCUAUAAUUAAAUAACAUUAUCCUAAGUUCCUCACCCGCAAAAAGACUUCGCAGCUCCCCUUCCCCUGCACCCGCGGCGGCCGGCAAAGACAGCAGCUCCUGCCGACCAGCCCUACUCACGCGAAGCCGAGCCCCUUCCUCCGCGCUAACCCUACGCUUUGCAACCGCCCUUCGUCGUCGGAGCCCGGUGCUAGGGCCUGGCACGUCUGGCGCGUCCGCGGCGUUUGGCACAGCCUCCGCCGCAGCCUCCGCCGCAGCCACGUCCAAGGCCGCAAAAUAAUCCAAGUCCUCCUCCGACGACUCCUCAGUCCACUCAACCGAGCUCCCAGAGUCAGUAAAAUCAAAAAACUCAGAUACAGACCCACCAUAUUCAUUUCCAUCUUCCGCGGUCGAAGCCGCCAAAAACUCAGUAGUAGCGGUUGCGUGCGCAGGCCCAAAAUCUUGAACCUGCGCAGCAACCAAAAUUCAGUACAACAUCCAAAAAUUCCCCAACCCUAAUCACCCACUACGCCACCUGCGAAGGCCCUGCCGCCACGGGAGCCUCCGCCGCAGCCUCCGCCGCGGCCUCCGCCGCUCCCUCCGCCCCCACCGCCACGGGAUCUUCAGUGCUCGGCACAGCAGCUGCGGGGGCAUCGGGCGCGCCUUCGGCCACCUUUGGGGGCAGGUCUUCGCCGGCCGCAGCAGAUGUAAGGGCGCCUGGUGCGUUUUCCGCAGUCUCCGGGGUCGGUCCCGGGGCGACUCCAGUCGCGGCCUCCGCAGGGGUCGUCUCCGGGUCAGGCAACGCGCUGUUCAGCGCCCCGAAGUCCUCCACCCGCUCGCCGCGCUCCGCCUAAGACAAAACGCACAAAAAUUCAGCAAACACACGCACAGACCGCAUCCAGCAAGUGCCGAACAAACGACAACGUUACCUGAGCCCUCGCAGCCUCGGCCCGCGCCCUGACCACCUCACGACCGUACGAACCCCACAUCCGGUCAUAGAGGGCCCCGGCGGAUUCCUUCACCACGGGGUCUUCGACCUCAAAGAUAUCUCGCCCAAAAUCCUCAUCUGCCUGGUCGAGGGCCUCAAAGUGCCGGCACCCUUCGCGAGAGAGUGCGUUCAUCGCCGCCUCGCAGGUGACCAGGGAGGUGAACGACAUUAACCCCGCCAAGACAGUGGGGAGCUCCUGCAGUUCCUCCUGCACCCAUUCCAGACAGCGAAGCCCGGCCUCUCGCUCUGGCACCUUGAAGUCGUCGGUCCGCACACCCAGCUCGCGAUAGGCAGUCAUGAGCUGCGUGCGCGUCCGUUCGGCCUCCGCCCGCAUCGCGGCCUCGGCCCCCUCCACGCGGCCCUCCAGGGCAGUAAGCCGCCCCUGCAGCUCUCCGGCGAGCUCCUUGGCGAUAUUGCCUUCCGCCCGCGCCAGCCUGGCCUCCGCCUGCGCAGCCUGCUCUUUGGCGAUGGCUUCGUUGGCCUCCCUCCUCUCCCCCGCCAGCUGGCGCCGGAGGUCAGCCUUCUCCUUCUCCAGGGCGGCCACCUUGUCCGCCAGUUUGCGGCACUUGCUGUCGGAGGCCAACUUCUCACGGACAGCGUCAGCAUGUUGCGUCCGAAGUCUCUCGACUUCGGCAGACAAAGCUGCCGUAAGGGCCCCCGACGCAGUGCGGCUGGUGAAGUCAGCCACCUGCAGAGCACACGUAAGGCCGUUGCUUAAAAAAAAAAAUAAUAGCUCAGCGGACCUGACUCAGCGCCUCCGUCGCCUGACUCAGCGCCUCCGUCACUCCUUUCAGCCGGCGGGUCGCCACGCCCGCCUCGUCCCUGACCAGCGCGAGGGCCGACACCUCGCCUCCGACGCCAAGGGUCUCACCCCUUGCCUUCGGCGCUAGCGCAGCUGUCACGAUCGCCGCGCCAGGCGCAGCAAGAGCAAGCUGGCCCUCGUCCGACCCUGCAACGCAUCAACAGAUUAAAUAUAUAUAUAUAUAUAUAUAUAUAUAGACUUACCCCCAAGAUAAUCAUCCACAUUAAUCUCGGUGCCGAAGUCGGCAACGCGUUUGCCCGGCAGUGGCAACGUCCGAGCCGCCUUCGCAGCCUCCGCCACUCCGCUGGCCGGCGGCACCACCUUCGUCAGUCUGGGGCCUCCGGCGCCCACCGUUGCCUCCGGCGCCUUGCUAGGUGCAGAGGCGCCCGCCUUCGCCGGCAGCGACGGUUUGCCUCCACCGGAGGCCGCAGCCUUCGCCGGUCCCCGCUGCCUCUUCGGCCGAGCUUCAUGAACCCUCACAGUCGCCUGGCGUUUUUGCGCCGCCCCUUGGCGAUCCUUGUCCAUCACUGCCCAAACAACAUGACCGAUAUUUCGCCCGUAAGGAAAAACUCUCCACUGAUGAACCAUACGAGAUGUAAAACAGUCCUCCUCAGCCGCGCAGGGGAUAGGAACAUUUCUAGGCCAGCAACCCCCGGUAACCCUCAGCAUCCGAGCCGAAGACUCCCGGAGCUCGGGCGAAGACAUCCUUUCCCCCGGGGCCGCACACGUCCUCAUUAACUCUCUAGCAAAACUAUCAGACACCCCAAGUCCUCCCAUCGCAGUACCUAAUUUUCUCUUUUUCGAGGAGGCGGCGGCCACCAGCGCAGGGUCGCCUCCAGUCUCCACCGCCGGUUUCUUCCCACGGCGGUCCGCUUCGUCUUGACCAGGGUAGCCGCCGUACGACAAUUGAUUUAAUUCGAAGACCCUGUUCAAACGUUCAUUUGACCCGCGGAUAUCAAAGCUGUGCUGGCCUUCCAUCCUUGGCACGUAACGCCCCACGAGCCGCACCGCCAAGUCCUCCGCAUCACGCACAAAGGCGGCCGGGUCACGGUUUCGCAAAUUCAGUGCGAAGGCAGGACUUCACACCUCCCUUCCUCCGUGAAAAGGCAUCUGGCGAGGGCAUACUUCGCCCAGCGCCCAGCCGUGCGCCAAGGGCCAGACCCCGUACGCCACGAACUCUUCAACUAAAUCACGACCGCUGCUCUGACCGGCGGCGCACCGAAAGGCCCCUUCGUCUGCAUCCUCUUCUGCCACUUCAAAAGGCGGAUACGCAGAGUAAUAGUGAGAGCACAUUUCAGACACGGGGAGUCCUUCAUGGCCUUCGACAGUAGCCUCAGCAACGUAAAACCAAAAUUCAUUCCAAUUGCCCCACUUGUUGCGGGCGCACGGAACCAACUCCACUACUGGCAUUGUGGUCUUGCCGGUCUUCGGCGUGAAUGUGCAUGACCCGAACUGGGCAACUCCGUCCUCAACCAUCCUUUUCGGCCAAUGCAAACAAUAAUUCUUCGCAAAAACUUCAACUGACGGCUGUCCGCCGUACGAAGUCGUCGCCCAGACAUACUUCGCCAGCGCCACUAUGGCGUUCGGUGUCAGCUGAUGUAUUUGAACGCUGAAUCUACGCAGGACUUCGCCAACAAACCGGUGCGCAGGCAAGCGGAGUCCGGCGACGAAGAACGCCUCGAAAACAACCAACUCGCCCUCCGGCUCGGGGACUUCCUCCGUCCCCGGAGCACGAGCGACUCCGCCGCCAAAGUAGCCCAACCGCUGCAUAUCUUCAAUGCGGGCUGACGUCAUCCGUGACACACCAAAAUCAACAGAGUCGCCGGCGCGCAACUCCUCCACCAUCACGCUACUCAACGUCUCCUCAGACGAGGCGGCGGUCGGCGGCAUGGCGUCGGCGGAAGAAGAAGAGGAUGGCAUUGCUACGUACCGUCGGCGGCGGCGGGCGGUCUGCUUCACUCGAGCCAGAGCGACGGCGAGCAAAAGGAGCAGCGGAGGAAGAAGAGCAGCAAGACGGCGGGCGGCUAGGGUUUAACGGAGCGCGGAAGGCAAAGUUCAAACAGCGCCGACCCCCGCCCCCUUUUAUAGGCAGGGCGCGGCUCUUCGGGAAACCCGCAAUUCGACAGGCCGCGACGCUUCGGGAAACCCGCAAUCCAACAGUACGCCGUCCAUCAACGGUCACAUCAAAAACCCCCGCGGAACCACUUCGAGCGAGGGCAGCGUCUCCGCCAUCUAGCGACGUCUUCGGCACCAGGUGACUUUGUCGAACUGGUCCCUCGGAGGGCAAAUGUUGGGGCGAAGGCAAAGACGCCACCCUUCGCUCGAGGUCUUCGCUGCAGCCGCCGGUCUGACAGAGACAAGACGGGCAGGGACACCCUUCGCUGGAUUCGGCACAUUGACGAAGGCCUGCGGCGACGUCUUCCCGCGGCGCGGCCUCGUUCAGUCCCAAGGCCCACGUGCCAUCUGGCCCAUUGUAACGGGCCCCGCGUGGCCGCCUCUGUAUUACGGGCCUAACUUGUAAAGGCAUACAUGUAAUUACAGCUUGUAACCCUGCUUUAUGGGAAUAUUCUGGGGAUAAACUAGGUGUCUGAGGGCACAUGCGUCCUUAACACAAGGCGUUGGGCACUCAGAUACCUAUAAAUACCCCCGCACAGUGCCCGUGAAAGGCUAGAUUAACAGAGCUAUUGCCCCCGAGCACGUAACCCUGUUGUCACCACUGUUCACCCUUGUUGGCCUUCUUGCUGCUGAGAGCAAGUUCCAACAAACACCACCGCUCAAGCACACUAUAAAUUGAGCACCCCGAUGGGCCCGUAGGGUAGUCAAGCACCAAGCCACCAAGCCGUGCCCUCACCGUGGUCAGCAUAUUCUAGGUCUGUUCAUGCUCCCUGCUCUCUUGUUUCAGCAUCCUUAGGUUCUCCUGAUGCUCCCCGACCCUGCCAAUUGGACUAGGACCCCUUAGAUCGCCGGGAAUGCGUUCGAUUGCCCGUGGUGCCCGCCGUCACCGUGGACAGAGCGUGUUAGAGCUCCGUUAAUAAAAUUAAUUGAGGGGAAACACUUGUUAGGGCUUGAAUUAGGUCUAAGCCGAAGUAGAGCACCGGUCGUUGCGUGAAUCGGCCGGUGUAGGCUCGCCGGAGCUCGGUUCUCCGUCGCUGCCCGUCGUGGACUUUCCCUUGUGAAGAUUAGAACUUCAAGGGUCUUAGUGCAAACGUCAGUGAAACAAACAAAUAGUCCUCUGGGUUAUUGUUGCUUAUUCAAAAUGCUGGGGUCGUCUGUGUAAAACCGCCACUACGGGCGCGCGCGCGGGUGCGUCCCCAUAUUCAGUUUUGAGUUGGGCCGAUUGGGUCAGUUUUGGCCCAACAUUGUAGAACCUUUUUCUUUUUCCUUUUCUGCCAGAGCUAGAGAAUUUCCAGAAAAUUAUAAAAAAAUGCUAAAAAUACCAGACCAAUUUUACUAGGCUCCUAAUUUUCUAUAGUAUUUAAUAAAAAUAGUUUCAUGAUUUUUAGUUCCAAUAGGGAAUUAUGGGAUAUUUAAAAUAGCCAAAACACAUACUUCUGGAAUUUUAGAGAAUAAUUAAUAAUCCCAAAAUUCACCAAACUUUUUAGAUAAACUUUAAAUAUUAUUUAGAAGCUUUGGGUAAAAUUUGGUAUGAUUUGAACCAUGUUUGGUACUUAGAACCCAAAACCCUAACCCCUACCCUAUGAACUUCACUAUAGACUCCAAAAACCCUAGUUUCCCGGAGAUCCAUGAAGGUAAGUUAUCGUAAUUGCUUCCGCAUUUUCGUACCUCCGAUGUAUUGUAAUGUCUGCGUGACGGGUGAAACGCUCUUGGGCAAGGUAAAGAAAUUCAGAUACCGAACUCGUCAAGUGAUCAGGUGCACCUGCAGGGUUGUCUGAGGUCCUUUGGACAAGGACAACUAUAGGUGGGCCUAAUGACUUGGGAGGUCGACCACUUCAUUUUGAAUUUACACUCCUUCUGCUGGGAGCUCUAUAUGAAAUGAUAUGAAUGAAUGCAUAUUCUUGUGCAACUACAAAGAAGAUACUUUAAAGCAGUACAAACUACACCUCACUAUGCACACAAAACUAACCAAACAACAGGGGAGCUAAACAUUCUAAUAUCAUCACUAAGCUCUCAAACCACACUAGUGAACUCUGCCUCCAUAACCAAGAACUCUAUGCUUGCCUUAAGUAAGGACUUACUUUUCUAACUUGAAUCCUACAACUUGAACUUGAUUAAGACAAUCUUCAAACUAUGCCAAAAAUCCAGAUCCCACUAGGCACUCUUACUUCUUUAUCCAAAGAUCAGGUUUCACUUGUUAAACUUGUUCCUUCUUCCAAAGUUCUAAUCCACCUGUGAUUAUGUUCUUCUUAUUAUUCUAAUUAGGGAUUUUACAAGGAUUUUUGAGCAAAUGGCUUACAAACAGCCCCAAACUUUUACCAAGAGUUUAUCUUCUGAUAACAAGACUCUCCACAAGUUUUCAUAAUUUUUGGUGCUCACAUAUGCUCCCUAAAUAUUCAAUUAAUCCUUUUUAGAGCACACUAAAAUUACUUAAAACUUGUAAACUGCACUAAAGAUCCCAAAAAACACAUUUAGUAGAGAGCUUACCAAUUUAGACACCCCAUAAAAUUUGUCCCAUAGAGAUCCUAAAACCGAGCUUUCGAUGGCAGUGGCAAACCUCAGCCCGGCAAGCCCGAUCCCGCGAACCUGUGCGGUAGAGCUCCGACUAAGGACUCAGAGAGCUUCAGCGAUCACAUAAUCCUACAGUGCGCGUGUGAAUUUGACAGAGAAUGGCGUGGGUGAACAGGUCAAUGCGAAGGCUGUCCUCGGCACCACUACACAGUGGCGCAACCUUGUUCCGGCCAACAAACAACGACAGCAUUAAAUAAAAGGACUCUAGUGAGCAUCACUGACCUCUGGAGAUUAUGGAACCAGCACAACGCAGCCGAAAAACCCGUCGAGGAUCCCUGGCCAUGGUGAGGUGAAGAACGGGUGGGCGUGGUCACCUCAGGCAGGAAGAUGGCGUACAAGUUUCUGUGAGAGACCAAGUUUGGUGACUGGGGAGAGGUGAGUACUAGCGUGAACACAGGAAUUCCAGCAAUUACGCAGUGGUCUCGAGCUAAAACCUGAGGGCAAGGGGAAGCUUUAUUGAACCCAACCGAAGAGCACUAGAUAUGGACAAGUACCACUGAACGUGUAGGUAGGGCAUGGACCUCAACUCAGACCUGAUGUAGGAGAACCAUGGGAAUGCCAUCACUGUAUGACCUAUUUUACGUGGCUUCCAUGCACCCAUACCACACAGGCUCAUAACCACAGCCCAAAUACACUGCAUUUAGUCUAUUUUACAGAGCCAAAAUAUCCAUCCCUUCGUUCAGUAAACAGAUAGGAAAGGGAGUAGAUACGUCCCCCACUUGGGUAUGCACUAUGGUCCAAAACUUGAUAUUUUUGAAGGGGUGAGACUACCAAAAUUCAGCACACAGCCCACCCCCAAAUAUAUCUAGCUAGUUCACUGGAUAUGGACAGAGGUAAAUACAGAUAAAAAAACUCCACGGCAGCAAGGGAUAUCCCAUGUUACUUACCCUCCCACAGCAAAGCUUAUUCCUAUCCAUAACUGCCAUAGAAGCAGCUGGAUUCGUUAGUGGAUGUAGAUCUUUACUGCAGAUAUUUUUGAUCCCUAUUGAACUGCCACUGCUUGACUGAACUCACAACUUCACCCCUUUAUUUUUCCCAGCUCCAAGCAACAACAGGGGAACCGACCUUAAGGAACCUUGUUCACCAACUAACCCACUAUCAAUCUUCCAUACAGAUUUAAGCCUUAUAAUCCUUAGAUCAGACACUAAACAGCUCCAAAGUCAGGAGAAAAAUACUGAACCAAAUCCACAGUGACUGAUUCAGGUUUGCAUUUCCAUGCCUGAUAGACCGAAGAUCCUAAAGGAAGAAAACACCUUCUGCAGAUUCUAUUAGAAACCGCGUCGAAGCUAUCAUCUGUAAAGCUUCGGCACAAUGACAGAUCUCAAGACGAAGGGGUGAAUCGACUUAAAGAUAAAAUGACUUGAAGACCCAUGAUGUUUUGUGUCAUUAUUGUAGUCAAUUGUAAAGGGCAUAAAUGUAAUAUCUCACAGGUUGUGCCCUGUGCCUAUAAAUAGGUGAACAGUACCCCUGUACUAUUUACACAAUCUUGUAACUGCCGGCACUUUACGCUGGAAUUAUUGCUUUCCGCUAAGACGAAGGUAUAAAUGUACUUAAAUGUUAAGUAUUAAUAUUUGUGUUCAUGUAAUAAAAUAUGUGAAUAAUGUUACUUAUUUUUAGUAUAUCUUUCUAUAAUGUUUCAUGUUUUAUGUUUUUUACUUUAUAUUGUUUUACAAAUCUGAUCACGAAGGUGUGACCUUCGCGAUAUUUUGCUCAUGGCCUUUGUCCGAAGCUCAUUAAAUCCUUGUGGAGAUAAUGCUUCAGCGGACGAAGGGCAUUAACAUUUAACAUUUUAUGUUGCCUUGUUCUUAAUUCAUAGCAUUUGAGAACAAGUCCCCAACACCCGGCACCACUACACAGUGGCGCAACCUUGUUCCGGCCAACAAACAACGAUAGCAUUAAAAAAGGACUCUAGUGAGCAUCACUGACCUCUGGAGAUUAUGGAACCAGCACAACGCGGCCAAAAACCCGUCGAGGAUCCCUGACCAUGGUGAGGUGAAGAACGGGUGGGCGUGGUCACCUCAGACAGGAAGAUGGCGUGCAAGUUUCUGUGAGAGACCAAGUUUGGUGACUGGGGAGAGGUGAGUACUAGCGUGAACACAGGAAUUCCAGCAUUUACGCAGUGGUCUCAAGCUAAAACCUGAGGGCAAGGGGAAGCUUUAUUGAACCCAACCGAAGAGCACUGGAUAUGGACAAGUACCACUGAACGUGUAUGCAGGGCAUGGACCUCAACUCAAACCUGAUGUAGGAGAACCAUGGGAAUGCCAGCACUGUAUGACCUAUUUUACGU